CCUACGGGUGGCUGCAGUGGGGAAUAUUGGACAAUGGGCGAAAGCCUGAUCCAGCCAUGCCGCGUGUGUGAAGAAGGCCUUCGGGUUGUAAAGCACUUUCAGUGGGGAAGAAAGCCUUGGGGCUAAUACCCUCGAGGAAGGACAUCACCCACAGAAGAAGCACCGGCUAACUCCGUGCCAGCAGCCGCGGUAAUACGGAGGGUGCGAGCGUUAAUCGGAAUUACUGGGCGUAAAGCGCGCGUAGGCGGUCUGAUAAGCCGGUUGUGAAAGCCCCGGGCUCAACCUGGGAACGGCAUCCGGAACUGUCAGGCUAGAGUGCAGGAGAGGAAGGUAGAAUUCCCGGUGUAGCGGUGAAAUGCGUAGAGAUCGGGAGGAAUACCAGUGGCGAAGGCGGCCUUCUGGACUGACACUGACGCUGAGGUGCGAAAGCGUGGGUAUCAAACAGGAUUAGAUACCCUAGUAGUC
rnacentral:rRNA from 1 species